ACUGGGCGCAGUGGUGCGUGCCUGUAGUCCCAGCUACUCUGGAGGCUGAGGUGGGAGGAUCGCUUGAGCCCAGGAGUUCUGGGCUGUAGUGCGCUAUGCUGAUCGGGUGUCCACACUAAGUUUGGCAUCAAUAUGGUGACCUCCCGGGAGUAGGGGACCACCAGGUUGCCUAAGGAGGGGUGAACCGGCCCAGGUGGGAAACAGAGCAGGUCAAAACUCCUGUGCUGAUGAGUGGUGGGAUCGUGCCUGUGAAUAGCCACUGCAAUCCAGCCUGGGCAACAUAGCGAGACCCUGUCUCU
rnacentral:SRP_RNA from 1 species